UGGGGAAUAUUGCACAAUGGGCGCAAGCCUGAUGCAGCCAUGCCGCGUGUGUGAAGAAGGCCUUCGGGUUGUAAAGCACUUUCAGCGGGGAGGAAGGCGUUAAGGUUAAUAACCUUGGCGAUUGACGUUACCCGCAGAAGAAGCACCGGCUAACUCCGUGCCAGCAGCCGCGGUAAUACGGAGGGUGCAAGCGUUAAUCGGAAUUACUGGGCGUAAAGCGCACGCAGGCGGUCUGUCAAGUCGGAUGUGAAAUCCCCGGGCUCAACCUGGGAACUGCAUUCGAAACUGGCAGGCUAGAGUCUUGUAGAGGGGGGUAGAAUUCCAGGUGUAGCGGUGAAAUGCGUAGAGAUCUGGAGGAAUACCGGUGGCGAAGGCGGCCCCCUGGACAAAGACUGACGCUCAGGUGCGAAAGCGUGGGGAGUAAACAGG
rnacentral:rRNA from 1 species